rnacentral:rRNA from 1 species
ACGGCGAGUGAAGUGGGAAAGCUCAACUUUGAAAUCUGGCACCUUCGGUGUCCGAUUGUAGUCUCAAGAAGUGUUUUCUGUGCGUCCAUGUAUGAGUCUGUUGGAACACAGCGUCAUAGAGGGUGACAACCCCGUUCAUGACAUGGAUACGUGAUACACUCUCGAAGAGUCGAGUUGUUUGGGAAUGCAGCUCAAAUUGGGUGGUAAAUUCCAUCUAAAGCUAAAUAUUGGCGAGAGACCGAUAGCAAACAAGUACCGUGAGGGAAAGAUGAAAAGCACUUUGGAAAGAGAGUUAACAGUACGUGAAAUUGUUGAAAGGGAAACGAUUGAAGUCAGACGUGCGUGAUGCGGUUCAGCU